rnacentral:rRNA from 1 species
ACGUAUGGAGCAAGCGUUAUCCGGAUUUACUGGGUGUAAAGGGUGCGUAGGUGGCAGUGCAAGUCAGAUGUGAAAGGCCGGGGCUCAACCCCGGAGCUGCAUUUGAAACUGCAUAGCUAGAGUACAGGAGAGGCAGGCGGAAUUCCUAGUGUAGCGGUGAAAUGCGUAGAUAUUAGGAGGAACACCAGUGGCGAAGGCGGCCUGCUGGACUGUUACUGACACUGAGACACGAAAGCGUGGGGAGCAAACAG